rnacentral:rRNA from 1 species
CAGUCGCCACGGUAAUACGUAGGGGGCAAGCGUUGUCCGGAAUUAUUGGGCGUAAAGCGCGCGCAGGCGGAUAGGUCAGUCUGUCUUAAAAGUUCGGGGCUUAACCCCGUGAUGGGAUGGAAACUGCCAAUCUAGAGUAUCGGAGAGGAAAGUGGAAUUCCUAGUGUAGCGGUGAAAUGCGUAGAUAUUAGGAAGAACACCAGUGGCGAAGGCGACUUUCUGGACGAAAACUGACGCUGAGGCGCGAAAGCCAGGGGAGCGAACGGGAUUAGAUACCCCCGUAGUCCCUGUCUCUUAUACC